GUGAAGCUGUGUCUCUAGAGAUGGGGGAUGAAACUGUGUCUAGAGAGAUGGGGUGUAACUGUGUCUCUAGAGAUAUGGGGUGAAACUAUGUCUCUAGAGAUGGGGGAUGAAACUGUGUCUAGAGAGAUGGGGUGAAACUGUGUCUCUAGAGAUGGGGGAUGAAACUGUGUCUGGAGAGAUGGGGUGAAACUGUGUCUCUAGAGAUGGGGGAUGAAACUGUGUCUGGAGAGAUGGGGUGAAGCUGUGUCUCUAGAGAUGGGGGUGACGCUGUGUCUCUAGAGAUGGGGGUGACGCUGUAUCUCUAGAGAUGGGGUGAAGCUGUGUCUCUAGAGAU
ensembl:lncRNA